rnacentral:rRNA from 1 species
ACUAAAACUAGCCCUAAAACCACCCAACGCUACUAUAACCUUAUAAUAAACCAAAACAUUUAACCAACAAUUAAAGUAUAGGAGAUAGAAAUUUUACACUGGCGCUAUAGAGAAAGUACCGCAAGGGAAAGAUGAAAGAUUAAUUAUAGUACAAAACAGCAAAGAUUAACACUUCUACCUUUCGCAUAAUGAGUUAACUAGAACACCCUUGGCAAAGAGCACUUCAGUCAAACACCCCGAAACCAGACGAGCUACCUAUAGACAGUAAAAGAACUAACUCGUCUAUGUUGCAAAAUAGUGAGAAGAUCUAUAGGUAGAGGUGAAAAACCAAUCGAGCCUGGUGAUAGCUGGUUAUCCAGAACAGAAUCUUAGUUCAGCUUAAAAUUUACCUAAAGAAACCAAAACCAAUCCCAAUGUAAAUUUUAAACAUAAUCAGUAGAGGUACAGCUCUACUGAAACAAGGAUAAAACCUCAAACCGGAGAGUAAGCUAUAACCAUUUUUCCAUUGUUGGCCUAAAAGCAGCCACCAAUAAAGAUAGCGUUCAAGCUCAAAACCUAACACCAUUCUAAAUUUCAUAAACCACCUAACCAUCUCCCGACACCUAACACUGGAUCAAUCUAUAACUAAAUAGAAGAGAUAAUGUUAACAUCAGUAACAAGAAUUCCCUUUCUCCGCGCAUAAGCUUACAUCAGAACGGACACCCCACUGAUAAUUAACAACAAGGCAAUUACAACCCAYUAAAUAAUAACAUUCCAUACUUAUUGUUAACCCAACACAGGCAUGCAUACCGGAAAGAUCUAAAGAAAUAGAAGGAACUCGGCAAACACAAAUCCCGCCUGUUUACCAAAAACAUCACCUCUAGCAUUACAACUAUUAGAGGCACCGCCUGCCCAGUGACAUAUGUUUAACGGCCGCGGUACCCUGACCGUGCAAAGGUAGCAUAAUCAUUUGUUCUUUAAUUAAGGACCUGUAUGAAUGGCCAAACGAGGAUUUAACUGUCUCCUAUUUCCAAUCAGUGAAAUUGACCUUCCCGUGAAGAGGCGGGAAUAAACAUAUAAGACGAGAAGACCCUGUGGAGCUUAAAUUAAAUAGCUCAACAACAACCACCCAAACCGACAGGAACAAAAUACACAUGACACUGAGCUAUAAAUUUUGGUUGGGGUGACCUCGGAGCAAAACAAACCCUCCGAAUGAUAAGCACCAAGACUAACACGUCAAAGUCCACCGUAUCACUUAUUGACCCAAAACAUUGAUCAACGAAACCAGUUACCCCAGGGAUAACAGCGCAAUCCUAUUCUAGAGCCCGUAUCGACAAUAGGGUUUACGACCUCGAUGUUGGAUCAGGACAUCCAAAUGGUGCAGCCGCUAUUAAAGRUUCRUUUGUUCAAYGAUUAAAGUYYUAYGUGAUCUGAGUUCAGACCGGAGCAAUCCAGGUCGGUUUCUAUCUAUAACCAAUUUCUCCCAGUACGAAAGGACAAGAGAAAUAAGGCCAACAUUACACAUGCGCCUUAAGUCAUAAUARAUGAAGUAAUCUAAACCUAAACUACUAYAYCAAACAUGCUCUAAACCAGAGCUUU